UAGAGUGAAAUGUAUAUAAGGAAAGGUAGUUCAUUGUCACCACUCUACAUCAUAAUGGUGGAUUCCUUAAGUAGACGAUUAGAUCAAGAGAAUAUAUUUGAAAACUUACAGGUAAUUUCAAGGGGAAUCUGAUUGUUUAAUUAAAACUAGUACGGACAAGGGGAAUCUGAUUGUUUAAUUAAAACAAAGCAUUCUGAUGGUCCCUAUAGAUGCUGAUGCAAUGUGAUUUAUUCCCAUUUAUCUGCAUUUCAAAGUAAAUAAAUUCAACCAAGCGUGGGUAAACGGUGGGAUUAACUAUGACUCUCUUAAGGUAGCUAGAUGCCUCGUCAUCUACUUAGUGAAGCACGUGAAUGGAUUAAUGAGAUUCCCACUGUACCUAGCUACUAUAUAGAGAAACCACAUCCAAGGGAAUGGGCUUGG
rnacentral:ncRNA from 1 species